GGUUCGCGCGCUUCGGGCCUAGUCGGGACUCUCCGCGGCCGCCGCCAUAUUCCCGUGGCAUCUUUCUUACUUUGCCCGUUCUCCGGGCUCGAGAGCGUAUUUCCGGAGCCAUGUCAGAAGGAGUGGAUUUGAUUGAUAUAUACGCUGAUGAAGAGUUCAAUCAGGACUCGGAGUUCAACAAUACAGAUCAGAUUGACCUAUAUGAUGAUGUGUUGACGGCUGCCUCACAGCCUUCAGAUGACAGAAGCAGUAGCACGGAACCACCCCCUCCUGUUCGCCAGGAGCCUGCUCCCAAACCAAACAACAAGACCCCUGCAAUUCUGUAUACAUAUAGUGGCCUGCGGAGUCGUCGAGCGGCUGUCUAUGUAGGCAGCUUCUCCUGGUGGACCACAGACCAGCAGCUGAUCCAGGUUAUUCGAUCUAUAGGAGUCUAUGAUGUGGUGGAGUUGAAAUUUGCAGAGAACCGUGCAAAUGGCCAGUCUAAAGGGUAUGCUGAGGUGGUAGUAGCCUCUGAAAAUUCUGUCCACAAAUUGCUGGAACUCUUACCAGGAAAAGUUCUUAAUGGAGAAAAAGUAGAUGUGAGGCCGGCCACCCGGCAGAACUUAUCACAGUUUGAGGCUCAGGCUCGGAAACGUGAGUGCGUCCGAGUCCCAAGAGGGGGAAUACCUCCACGGGCCCACUCCAGAGAUUCUAGUGAUUCUGCUGAUGGACGGGCAACCCCCUCUGAGAAUCUUGUACCCUCAUCUGCUCGUGUGGAUAAGCCCCCCAGCGUGUUGCCCUACUUUAACCGUCCUCCUUCAGCCCUUCCCCUAAUGGGUCUGCCCCCACCCCCAAUUCCACCCCCACCACCUCUCUCCUCAAGCUUUGGUGUCCCUCCUCCUCCUCCUGGUAUCCACUACCAGCAUCUCAUGCCCCCUCCUCCUCGAUUACCUCCUCAUCUGGCUGUACCUCCCCCUGGGGCCAUCCCACCAGCCCUUCACCUCAAUCCAGCCUUCUUCCCCCCACCAAAUGCUACAGUGGGGCCUCCACCAGAUACUUACAUGAAGGCCUCUACACCCUAUAAUCACCAUGGCAGCCGAGAUUCAGGCCCUCCACCUUCUACAGUGAGUGAGGCUGAAUUUGAAGAGAUAAUGAAGCGCAACAGAGCAAUUUCCAGCAGUGCCAUUUCCAAAGCAGUGUCUGGAGCUAGUGCAGGGGAUUACAGUGACGCCAUUGAGACACUACUCACAGCCAUUGCAGUUAUCAAACAGUCCCGAGUCGCCAAUGAUGAGCGCUGCCGGGUCCUCAUCUCCUCUCUUAAGGACUGUCUUCAUGGCAUAGAGGCCAAGUCAUACAGUGUGGGUGCCAGUGGAAGCUCUUCUAGGAAAAGACAUCGGUCCAGGGAGAGGUCACCCAGCCGGUCCCGAGAAAGUAGCAGGAGGCACCGAGACUUGCUUCAUAAUGAAGACCGGCAUGAUGAUUAUUUCCAAGAGAGGAACCGGGAGCAUGAGAGACACCGGGAUAGAGAACGGGACCGGCACCACUGAGAAAGGUGGGAAAGAAGCCCUGUUCCUGGCCAGUGGAUUGUAUGUGAACUGGGUAUGGUGGCUCAUGCCUGUAAUCCCAGCACUUGGGAGACCAAUGCAGGAAGAUUGCCAUGAGUUGAAGGGCAGCCUGGACUACAAAGAGUCUGGGUGGAAGCAAUUUGUUUUUAAUGGACUUGCAUCUCCUCACCUUGAUCAGGACUAAAGAACGGAGGCCGCUCCACCCCUUUCCCUUCUUUCAAACCCCUAACUUCCUCCAGGCAAAACCCCUGCCCUACAGGAUUGAAGAUGGCUUGGCAGCCCUCCCAAUCCCACACCUCCUGUUUGCCAGGGGGGAAGAACCUUAAGACUUGCUGGGGUAGGGAAUGAGGGCAGACAGGAAGACAGCAACAUGUCCGGCCCAUAGUCUCCAUAGAGAAUGGUGCUUUGUCCAAGGAAACCUGAGUUUCUGAUUGCCCAGGAGCAGUCAGUGGUGAGGUUACUGAGAGAAAAUUUCCUUCCCAGAGAAAAUGGAUCCUCUAUAUGGGAUCUUAGGAAAGUGACUGGGUGUGCCAAAAAUGCCCAGGGUUCUGCCCUCACUACUAGAUUUGAUGGGGCCAAGAGGGUCCAACCCUGCUAACAUACCACUUUGUUCAACUCCUUUACUUUCCUAGCCAAUUGAGGAGGGACCAUGAGAACAGAAACUACCCUGUGAGAAGACAAGUGUUCUCAGUUUUCUCCUCACAUAUUGACGGUUUAUUUCCCUGGCCUCCUAGAGGGCUGAAUCCUUUUGACUCCUUGCUAUCUGACUCCUCAGUGGACUUGCCCCUCUGAAGCAGAACCCAGGAGGUUGCUAUCUGCCGGAAGCCUAGGCCAGCCAGAUACCACCAUUUGCUGCUUCAGGCUUGUCUGUCUGUUGCAAUAACCAGCUCUUAGGUGUUUCCUUUCCCUGAGGCUUUCCAUUUAACAUGGAAUCCUUCCCCAAGAAGGCUUCUUCCUUGUUUUAGAGGAGGGUACUGCCUUUUUGGACUUGGGGAUGUUGUGGGACCUCAGUAAUGAGGACCCCCUAGUUAAUAAAAGUACCAGAAGUGUGGGGAAGAAAGCAAUUUGAGCAGUAUGUAGCCUACUCACAUGGGCUCUUUUUCAGGUUUGAUGUAAGCAUAGGCUUGCAUUUCCAAGGUACAUACUUUGACUUAACUGUGGGAUAACUCAGCACUAAUAGGCAGGUAAAGUCACAACUGUGAGUUUUUGUUUUUGUUUUGGUUUUUGGGGGUUUUUUUUUUAUCCUUUUACUCUGAUACUUUCCCUGUCACAUUGCCUGGAGGUGAUUCCAGCCUUUAACAAGGAGCAGAGAAGAAUUGGAGCCAGACUUUAGUGAACUCAGCUCAGAGUUGUAAGGACCAGCACCCUGGUGACCAUUUUCUGCACAAGCAAAUGGAAUUGCUUUUUAAGCAUCCAAAUUGUGAUAGGUUGCUCCUGAUAGAGGUAGCCACAGUCCUGGAAUACCAUAGGGUGAUGUUCUUUCUGCAUGCAUCUGCAGAGCCUGUGAGAUCUAAUGUGAAAAGAGACGCGACAUGUGAGAUGGGACUUGGUAUGUAAGGCAUAGGGUCAUUGGAGACUCUUCAGACUCAGAGGGUAGGGGGGAGGGAGACUGAAUUGGAUACUUUCUCUCUUCCCAGCAUACUUCUGAUAGACCCCUUCAGUCACUGAGGGAGUGCCUCCAAGGUUGGAGAGACAUUCCCUUUGGACAGAGGCUACAAGUUGUGGCUUAUUUUCCUGUCCCCUAAACCAAUCCCUAUUCCACCAACAUGGCACCCAGCCAGAUUGGCUAAGUGUUAAGUGAUAUGCUUAUUCUUGAAAGCAGCUCAGGGUGUCUUUUUAAAAUGUAGAAGAAAAAAAAAGUAAAGUGACAGUUAAGGAAAAACAAAAUAUAAAAUAUCAGAAAAGCUGUUUAACCAGAGAAUUAUUUUCUCCCCACUUUUAUUUUAACUCAGUGACAUAAUUUUUAGUUUUAUUCCACAUGGCAAAAGGAGAAAAAAAAUCCCAGUCCUCAAAAGGUCAAGGCCCUGUCCCCCUGUUGUCGGUGAUUUGUUUGUCUUUCUGAUAGGUUGGAAAUUGUGUAAUAAACUUGAUGACGAUGUCAAUCUUUUAUACUGCAUUGUAUUUUUUUCCUUUUGUAACAAAAUAUUUUUAAAUAAUAAAUGGGGUGUGAGCUGUUUACGGA